GCGGGGCCGCGGGCGCCCCGGGGCUGGAAACGCCUUUUCCUCGCUACCCCUCCCUUCGCGGUCACGGAGGUCUGGGGCCGGUGUCACCGGCUCCUCGAGGGAGGGGGCGCCCAGCGCGGUGUAGAGUCGGGGUCGCGCCCGGAAACCCGCCGAACGCCGAUCUCCCACCUUCCCAAAGGCGUUUUUCGCGUGUUCUUUUUUCCCAGCCCGAGGUCGUUUUGCGUGGACACAGUAAGAGGCCGGCCGGCCCGCCCGAGGUCUACGGAGCAACAGGCGGUCAGGGCUCCGCCAGGGAAUCUGGAGAAGCAGGGGGCCACCUUCCCCAUCUUCCGAGCCACUCCCCGUUCAGAGUUACAUCGCGGGGUCUCGGGCCUUCAGGGGUCCCUAAGCCAUGAGAUGGCCUCACCCUGAGGAAGGGGGUGGGCGGGCAGAAUGUUCCAAAGCCUGCUGGGUCCGGGAGCUCAUGGAGGAAAACGCAAGGUGCUGACCCAGCCUCCCAAAGAGGGUGCUCUCAAUGGUAAGAAUCGGCCGACCUGAAUGACCCCAACACCUAGAACGCCAAUAAUCCAACACAGAAGGAAGGCUCCCUCUGGCCCCCUUUCUCAUCAGAGCCCUGGACCAUCAGACCCAGAAACUGAAGCUGAAACAGAACUAGAUCUACAAUCAGUUCUAGAGAAACAGCGGGAGGGCCAGGGAGCCUAUGCUCUCUCAAGACACCCUAAACAAUUGCUUCCUUGCAGCCUGGGCUCAAAGUGAAUUGAGCAGUGUCCUCUUCUGGUCGUGUGGCUAUAACAUAAGCUUGUUUCCUGAAAACAGGGAUGAUAGUAGGUGCUUCUCAAGGCUUGACGAUCAAAGGAAAUGAAAUGAAAUGAGAUUAAAAAGUGUCCGACAGAUGGCAGCUAUUACUAUGACCAUCGUUAUUUUCAUUAGAAACGAGUGCCCUGAUGAAUCCGUGAGCUGGCCCGGUGAGGCAGUCACGGAGAGGCUGCCUGUAGCAAACCUGGCUCCUUCUGCACCACUUGUAAGGAUGGAGCAAGUGACUCUCUCAAGGAUUCUAAGCAAGGGUAUAAAGAAGAAGCAAACUGCUCGGAAGGGCACAUGGAGGAUAAAGAAGGCAUGUUCUGGUUUGUGCUGGCAUCAGUCCAGGGCCCACUGACCAACGAUCUCGAUGAGAUAUGCCAGGAUCACCCCAUCCCGAAGAUCCUGUCGCAGGUCCUGCACGGGCUUCACUGCUGGCCUCUUCUUGAGCUGUGCAUUCACCCAGGCCACAUACGCCUGGAGCUGUUGCUGGAAAAUCAAAGGUGGAAAUAAGGGAAAGGAAUAUGAUUCUUCUCCUUUGCCCUGCACCCUCUGAGGCGACAUUUGAGACUGGACUACGGUGGGAAAUCCACAUCCAGAGGGAGGAGGAGGUUUCAAGGAAAUAAAGAAGAAAGAUGGUGAGACAUGGAGCAUGUUCUAAAAAUCUCUAAUUUUAUGCUAGUUGCUAGUCUUCAGGGAAAGCUAACCGCUGACUUGGUGGCAGUGGAGACACAGAGAAACAGAUGAGUGUUUCAGUGAGUAGGUCUCCUGCUUUCCUUGAGUUUUGCUCCCUUGACCAUGGAUGGGGGCCAGUGGAGAAGCACGGCCAGUUUUUGGGUGUGAUCACUGCUGCCAGUAACCCAUUGUGCUUCUCAAGAACAAUCACUCAUUCUCACAUGCACAAUGGACACUGAUACUCAUAAGGCUGGUCUUGGGGAAUCAGAAAUAAACAACAGCAAGCCAGCUCAGAACAACCUCUCCCAUCACUAUGUUCUUCACAAUGAGACUUAAUGGAAAUCAUCUCACUGUCAACCCGAGAUUUAUUCUCCUGAGCCCAUAAUCCUGGGAUUGCUACAGAGUUAGUGUUAAUCCGUGCUUUAUGUUGUCAAAGAGGAUCUAGUUGCCUAAAAUCUGCACAAAGAAGGAAAAAGAAAAGCUUUGGUGAGCAGUACCCUGAAGACUUGGGCAGAGGUUGUGGCACGGGGGGCGGGCAGGAGGGCUUUCAUUUAUUGUCAGACAAAGCUAAACCCAGUAUCAUCAGAAGCCUGUCGGGCCCAGAUAGGGACACACAACUCAUCCCAGCCCUCGGAUCCCCCUACAUAGUCCAUUUUGUCCCCUACCAAAGCUUGCAUCCAGGUGUUUAUUCUAAUUUUGCAUUUGUUCUGAAGAUGGACACUUAAAUAUCAAAAGAGCACAUGAACAAUAUCCCAGAACAAUCAGCAGCUCUGUCUGGUUUCUGUAGAAGCCCAAGACCCUGACCCUAAACAUUAGGUUCAAGGGCUAACGGUAUUAUAUUACAAGCUGGUUGAAAAAUAGUUGAUUUCUACGCCACAAGUACUUCUUCAAUAAAAUGUUGGAAAUUA